UACGAAGGGUGCAAACGUUGCUCGGAAUUAUUGGGCGUAAAGCGCACGUAGGCGGCUCUGCAAGUCGGAUGUGAAAUCCCUCGGCUCAACCAAGGAAGUGCAUCCGAAACUGCAAAGCUUGAGUACCAAAGAGGAUCGCGGAAUUCCCGGUGUAGAGGUGAAAUUCGUAGAUAUCUGGAGGAACACCGGUGGCGAAGGCGGCAUCCUGGACCGGUAUUGACGCUGAGGCGCGAAAGCUAGGGUAGCAAACGGG
rnacentral:rRNA from 1 species